GCCCCCCCUCCCCUGUCCGCAGGCACCGUGCGGGCAGGGGAGGAAGAGAGGACCUGGGAGCUCACCCUGCAGCUCCUCUUGGUCCUUCUUGCGCGAGCACAGAGCGUUGCCGCGGUUACCAUGGCAACGUUACUGCUCUUGCGAGAGUCAACUCUAGCCCUGGAGCUACGGGCUAGAGUUCACUCUCAACACUGUAACCCCCAUGGAUUCCUGGUGGUCGCAGUGGUGAGAGUCAACUCUAGCCCCAUAAACACACUGCCCCCACACACACACCAUACACAUUCACACACUGCCCCCAUACACACCAUACACAUUUACACACAU